rnacentral:lncRNA from 1 species
UUGCUUCUGAACAGCCUGCUCACCGGUACACCAGGGGUUGGAAAAACCACACUAGGCAAAGAAGUUGCAUCAGUAUCAGGACUGAAAUACAUUAAUGUGGGUGAUUUAUCUUGAGAAGAGAAAUCCUAUGAUGGCUAUGAUGAAGAGUGAUUGUCCCAUUUUAGACGAAGACAGAGUAGUUGAUGAGUUAGAUAACAAAUGAGAGAAGGUGGAGUUAUUGUUGAUUACCACGGUUGUGACUUCUUCCCUAAACGCUGGUUUCAUAUAAUUUUUGUGCUGAGAACAGAUACCAAUGUAUUGUAUGAAAGACUUGAAACAAGGGGUUAUAAUGGGAAAACUCUAACAGACAAUAUUCAGUGUGAGAUUUUUCAAGUUCUUUAUGAAGAAGCCACAACAUCCCACAAGGAAGAAAUCGCGCAUCAGUUGCCCAGCAAUAAACCAGAAGAGCUAGAAAAUAAUGUAGAUCAGAUU